UCCAGGGUAGCCUAGUGGACAUGGCAUCUGCCCGGUAAGCGGAAGUCGUGGGUUCGAUUCCCGCCCCUGGAC